rnacentral:rRNA from 1 species
GCGGCUGUCUGGUCUGUAACUGACGCUGAGGCUCGAAAGUAUGGGUAGCAAACAGGAUUAGAUACCCUGGUAGUCCAUACCGUAAACGAUGAAUGCUAAGUGUUGGAGGGUUCCGCCUUUCAGUGCUGCAGCUAACGCAUUAAGCAUUCCGCUGGGGAGUACGGCCGCAAGGCUGAAACUCAAAGGAAUUGACGGGGGCCCGCACAAGCGGUGGAGCAUGUGGUUUAAUUCGAAGCUACGCGAAGAACCUUACCAGGUCUUGACAUACUAUGCAAAUCUAAGAGAUUAGACGUUCCCUUCGGGGACAUGGAUACAGGUGGUGCAUGGUUGUCGUCAGCUCGUGUCGUGAGAUGUUGGGUUAAGUCCCGCAACGAGCGCAACCCUUAUUAUCAGUUGCCAGCAUUAAGUUGGGCACUCUGGUGAGACUGCCGGUGACAAACCGGAGGAAGGUGGGGAUGACGUCAAAUCAUCAUGCCCCUUAUGACCUGGGCUACACACGUGCUACAAUGGAUGGUACAACGAGUUGCGAACUCGCGAGAGUAAGCUAAUCUCUUAAAGCCAUUCUCAGUUCGGAUUGUAGGCUGCAACUCGCCUACAUGAAGUCGGAAUCGCUAGUAAUCGCGGAUCAGCAUGCCGCGGUGAAUACGUUCCCGGGCCUUGUACACACCGCCCGUCACACCAUGAGAGUUUGUAACACCCAAAGUCGGCGGGGUAACCUUUAGGAACCAGCCGCCUAAGGUGGGACAGAUGAUUAGGGUGAAGUCGUAACAAGGUAACCA